UACGUAGGGUGCGAGCGUUAAUCGGAAUUACUGGGCGUAAAGUGUGCGCAGGCGGCCGCGCAAGUCGAGUGUGAAAGCCCCGGGCUUAACUUGGGAAUUGCGCUCGAAACUACGUGGCUGGAGUGUGGCAGAGGAAGGUGGAAUUCCAGGUGUAGCGGUGAAAUGCGUAGAGAUCUGGAGGAACACCGAUGGCGAAGGCAGCCUUCUGGGCCAGCACUGACGCUCAUGCACGAAAGCGUGGGGAGCAAACAGG
rnacentral:rRNA from 1 species